UCAGGGGCCUCCGGCGCGAGGCCCCCUUCGUGGUCAAGAUGGCGGCGCCCAGGCGGGCCGCGCCGAGGUGAGCUGGAGCCGGGCCCGGAGAGGGGUCAGUCAGCCACGCCCAGGACUUGGACCCCGGGGUCGUCUCCCGUUUCCCGGGGAGCGGCGGGUUGAUGGGCGCUACGGGAUAAGGAAAAGGAUGUGAAGCUCACUGAAGAGGCUUGGGUUGGGAGUGCUGGAGGAGUGUACAGGUGGGGAAAAUGUACCAGCGUGUAUGCCUACUGGGACCACGUUUUCCAGAACAGUUAAGCCCAGUGUCAACUGUGCUGUCCCACCUUCCUCAUUUCUGUGUGUGUGUGUCCCCAUGAUGAAAACAUCAUUAAAGUAAAAUAUAAUGAAUAGACUCUUAAGAAGCAGAGUCUACUGAAAGUCCUGGAAAAUAUGAAAGCACUAAUAUUCAUGGACAGCUCUACACUCUGAAAGUUACUCCAAAUGUUGUUGAUCUCUCUUUUGUCUAGGAGUUUUUCAAAUUUUCUACCAUGAUCAUUUGUUAGUUUUAUAAUUACAUGAUAAAGGCAUUACAUCAUACAA